AAACCCAUCUCAAAACAAUUAAGAAACAGAAAAGCAAAGUUGUUACUAUUUAAGAAAACAAUCUCCAUUUACUGCAGCUCAAGCAAACUAGCUCUAAUCUGAAAAGCAACUUAUAGGAUUCUGCAGAACUAAUUCUAAAGGAUGUCAACAAUUAGUCCCACAUAGAUACAUUCAGUAUCAUCGGUUCACGAAACAACUAUAUCCAUUUUACUGCAGCUCACACAGACUCUAAAGAUGCCAACAUAUAAUCAAAUCCCCACAUGGGUACAUUUAAUGUAAUCGAUUCUAAUAAUAAACAAACUAUAAGCCUCCACAUCAACACAAUAAACCUCUCUUAUAUUUAGAUUCCUCCAAAAAUCAACACGUUUGACCACACAAAUUCAAACAACGCACGCUAAUGUAUAAACCUCUC
rnacentral:lncRNA from 1 species